rnacentral:rRNA from 1 species
AUUGAACGCUGGCGGCAGGCCUAACACAUGCAAGUCGAACGAGUGGCGGACGGGUGAGUAAUGUCUGGGAAACUGCCCGAUGGAGGGGGAUAAAUACUGGAAACGGUAGCUAAUACCGCAUACCAUCGGAUGUGCCCAGAUGGGAGUAGCUAGUAGGUGGGGGAACGGCUCAACUAGGCAACGAUCCCGAGCUGGUCUGAGAGGAUGACCAGCCACACUGGAACUGAGACAAGGUCCAGACUCCGACGUGAGGCAGCAGUGGUGAAUAUUUCCCAAUGGGCGAAAGCCUGAUGCAGCUAUGCCGCGUGUAUGAAGAAGGCAUUCGGGUUGUAAAGUACUUUCAGCGAGGAUGCGUUACUCUAAGAAGAAGCACCGGCUAACUACGUGCCAGCAGCCGCGGUAAUAC